AAGUUGGCACAAGGACAUCGAAAGGAAUUGAUUCGUUGACAGGAUGGUCACGAACAGGGAUGACGAUGGACACACCCGGGAAGGGUUAUUACAUCAGGAUGAUGUCAGGAAACUUUUCAGGGAUGGAAGUGCUAACAGGACGGUUAGCAGACGAGGACGUCAAGGACACCGCUAGGAAGGCGAUGGAAGGAUCGGCUGAAGGAUUCAGCAGACUGAUCAAGGAUUAGAUGCAGGACGCACUUAUUCGUAGCAGGAUGGCUGCAAGCAAAGAAUAGAACCCCGGUGGGCAUUGCUCCCGGGGUUUUCCUUAUUUGU
rnacentral:other from 1 species